rnacentral:ncRNA from 1 species
UUUUCAUACUCUAUAUUAGGGUUUGCUUUCUCAGAAGCAACUGCGUAGAGGCAAAUAGCGCAGUAUAAAGAGGGUGAAUUGCAAAGAGGACAUAAUAUUUAUUAUGUAAAUUUGCAGCGAAGUUUAAUAUAAUACAAUAAUAUAUAUUAAAACCGUUCAACGACUAGUAGAUGAGUAAAGUAUUAACAAUAAUUCUACGAUCAGCGCCCUCAUAUUUUAUAUUAUAAAAUAUAAGACAUAGUCUAGAUAAGAGAGAAAUCUCUUA